GUUCUCCAAGCUAUAAAGAGCCAACGGUGAAUGCCUUGGCGCCUGAUGCCGAAGAAGGACGUAGGUGGCUGCGAUAAGCCGCGGGGAGCUGCCGACCGAGCGUCGAUCCGCGGAUGUCCGAAUGGGGAAACCCGGCACCCGUCAUGGGGUGUCACCCCUGCAUGAACGCAUAGUGCAGGAGGAGGGAACCGGGGGAAUUGAAACAUCUCAGUACCCCGAGGAAAAGAAAGCAACAGCGACUCCCUGAGUAGCGGCGAGCGAAACGGGAUCAGCCUAAACCGAGCUGGUGGCAAGCCUGGUGGCAUUGCCAGCCCGGGGUCGUGGGACCGACAGCAGGGGCACCAGACCCUGCAAGGAGUUACAAAGCUCAUGCAUAGCGGAACGGUUUUGGAACGUCCGGCCACAGCGGGUAAGAGCCCCGUACGCGAAAUGUAUGAGCCUCCUGUCGUCAUCCCGAGUAGCGCCGGGACCGUGAAAACCGGCGUGAAUCUGCGGAGACCACUCCGUAAGGCUAAGUACAAGCAGGCGACCGAUAGUGAACUAGUACCGUGAGGGAAAGGUGAAAAGCACCCCGGGAGGGGAGUGAAAUAGUACCUGAAACCGUUGGCUUACAAACAGUCAGAGCGUCGUCGGCCCUCGUGGCCGGCCGUGAUGGCGUGCCUUUUGAAGAAUGAGCCUACGAGUUACCGUACGUGGCAAGGUUAACCUGAGAAGGGGAGCCGGAGCGAAAGCGAGUCUGAAUAGGGCGAUGUAGUCGCGUGCGGUAGACCCGAAGCCGGGUGAUCUACCCAUGGCCAGGCUGAAGCGAGGGUAAGACCUCGUGGAGGGCCGAACCCACCAUGGUUGAAAACAUGGGGGAUGAGCUGUGGGUAGGGGUGAAAGGCCAAGCAAACCCGGUGAUAGCUGGUUCUCCCCGAAAUGUAUUUAGGUACAGCGUCGGAUGUUCAGCAUCGGAGGUAGAGCACUGGAAGGGUUAGGGGGCCUACAAGCUUACCGACCCCUACCAAACUCCGAAUGCCGAUGCUCCAGAGUCCGGCAGUGAGACCACGAGGGAUGAGCUUCGUUGGUCGAAAGGGAAACAGCCCAGAUCGCCGGCUAAGGCCCCUAAUUCUGGACUAAGUGGUAAACGAUGUGGGACUGCACAGACAGCCAGGAGGUUGGCUUAGAAGCAGCCAUCCUUGAAAGAGUGCGUAAUAGCUCACUGGUCGAGUGGUCCUGCGCGGACAAUGUAACGGGGCUCAAGUCCAGAGCCGAAGCCGCGGAUUGCACGCGAGUGCAGUGGUAGGGGAGCGUCGACCUCGCAGUGAAGCGGCGGUGUGAACCGUUGUGGAGCGUGGUCGAGUGAGAAUGUAGGCAUGAGUAGCGAGAGAGGGGUGAGAAACCCCUCCGCCGAAAGCCCAAGGGUUCCUGGGGAAGGCUAAUCCGCCCAGGGUGAGUCGGGAGCUAAGGCGAGGCCGAAAGGCGUAGUCGAUGCACAACUGGUUGAUAUUCCAGUACCGCCGUGUCCGCGUCCAUCCCAAUCCACGGGUACUAAGGGGCUGUCUUCGGACGAACCGACCGACCGUGGGGCGGGCAGCAAAGGAGGGACGCAGGAGGGUAGGUGAUCCCAGGCGUUGGUUGUCCUGGGGUAAGCGAGUAGGGCGGGGCCCAGGGAAAUCCGGUCCCCAUCAAGCCUGAGACGCGAUGCCGAGUCGUCUAGACGAAGUCACUGAUCCCAUGCUGCCAAGAAAAGCUUCUAGCGAGUUGGCACGGCGCCCGUACCCGAAACCGACGCAGGUGGGCAGGUAGAGAAUACCAAGGCGAUUGGGAGAACUGUGGUUAAGGAACUCGGCAAAAUACCUCCGUAACUUCGGGAGAAGGAGGGCCCCGGCAGGGUGGAGCGCCUCGCGCGCCGAGCCUGAGGGGGCCGCAGUGACCAGGGGGAAGCGACUGUUUACUAAAAACACAGGAGCGUGCGAAGCCCUAAGGCGAUGUAUACGCUCUGACGCCUGCCCAAUGCCGGAAGGUUACGGGGAACGGUUAGCCGCAAGGCGAAGCUGUGAACCUAAGCCCCGGUGAAUGGCGGCCGUAACUAUAACGGUCCUAAGGUAGCGAAAUUCCUUGUCGGGUAAGUUCCGACCUGCACGAAUGGCGUAACGACUUCCCUACUGUCUCAACCACAGACCCAGCGAAAUUGAAGUACGAGUAAAGAUGCUCGUUAGGUGCGGUAGGACGGAAAGACCCCGUGGACCUUUACUACAACUUGGUGUUGGGUUUUGGUACGGAUCGUGUAGGAUAGGUGGGAGCCUAGGAAGCUGUGGCGCCAGCCAUGGUGGAGGCAACGUUGAAAUACCACCCUUUUCGUGCUGGGACUCUAACCUCGACCCGUUAUCCGGGUCAGGAACAGCGCCAGGCGGGUAGUUUGACUGGGGCGGUCGCCUCCUAAAGUGUAACGGAGGCGCCCAAAGGUUCCCUCAGACUGGUCGGCAAUCAGUCGUCGAGUGCAAAGGCACAAGGGAGCUUGACUGCGAGACAGACUCGUCGAGCAGGUGCGAAAGCAGGGCUUAGUGAUCCAGCGGCUCCAUGUGGAAGGGCCGUUGCUCAACGGAUAAAAGGUACCCCGGGGAUAACAGGCUAAUCUUGCCCAAGAGUCCAUAUCGACGGCAAGGUUUGGCACCUCGAUGUCGGCUCGUCGCAUCCUGGGGCCGUAGCAGGUCCCAAGGGUUGGGCUGUUCGCCCAUUAAAGCGGCACGCGAGCUGGGUUUAGAACGUCGUGAGACAGUUCGGUCCCUAUCCACCGCACCCGUAGGAAUCCUGAGGAAGGCUGUCCCUAGUACGAGAGGACCGGGACGGACGCAGCUCCCGUGUGGCAGUUGUCACGCCAGUGGCACCGCUGCUUUGCGGCCUGCGGAAGGGAUAAGCGCUGAAAGCAUCUAAGUGCGAAGCCUGUUCCAAGAUGAGGAUUCCCACAGGGUCAACCUGGUAAGGCCCGUGGCCAGAUGACCACGUUGAUAGGCCGGAGGUGUACGCACAGCAAUGUGUUCAGCCGACCGGUACUAAUCGGCCGAGGGCUUGGGAACAA
rnacentral:rRNA from 1 species